UUCUAUUAUUUAUAUCUACCGAUCAUUUUCAACUUCUUAACAGAGAAAGGUCAGUGUGCUUGUCUCGAUGAUACUAUAAAUUCAGAUUGAAUCUUUGGAGAACAAUUUAACUAAUUCCAGACAAUCUAACCGAUGAUCUAUGAUCGAUCAUGAUACAGAAUAGGGUUCCAGGAAAUCGCACGAUAAAAUGCCUUUAAUUUAAAACAAUGCACAGAUGUAUACAUCGAUCGGAUAGAAAUAAACUGGUGAUUCAAGGAUGCGGAUCGCCGGAUUUAGUCGAAUAUUGCGCGUGCACGAGAAAAUAUAGGAAUCCUUUUCAAUUGACGCACACGCUUUGAACGCGCUGCAUAUUAAUCAAAAGCUGCAACUCGAAACCUGGUACCAGGAUAAUACAGAUCCGCAAGAAAUGGCAGGCUGCCAGAAUUCGGCUUGCACUUUGGCUUUCUACCAACGUGGAAAAUGCUUUCCGAAAUUCAACCACAAAAUCGUGGUCGUCUACAUCCGCAAAAUGUACUAUCGUUCUAAUCGUCGAUUGAUAACCGAACAGCAAACACAAAGAAACGUGUUCUCGUUCUCGUUCAUUAUCACGUUAGAUAGCUCUUCAAAAUCUGUUUAAUUGAAAUUAUGGAUAUAAAACGACAUUGUUGGGUCAUUUAGAUAGUAAGGUGAAUGAAUCAUUUGAUAGCUUACAAGAAAUUAUAUUCUUAUAAAUGAAUCAUGAACAAACAUAAAAAUAAGAAUUUCGAAACUCAGAUGCUUAACUGAUAUCAGUUUUAUAAUUUCAAUUAUGUAAGAAUGGACGUAAAUCGUAAGAAAAGAUUAUUCAAUAUAAUAAUCAAUUAUUAUAUCUUGCAAAUCUUGCAAAUCAUUUCUGUUAUCAUUUUAAUUAGUAAUCAGUUUCUUCUUGAGACUGUUUAUCUCUUGAAUCUGUAUCAAGAUCGCAAGAUGAUCAAUUAUAGGUCUUAUAAGGUGAUGGUUUUUCUUCAGAAAUAAAAAUCUCUCUCUCCCCUUGAA